ACAGUAUGUGGCACUCUUCAGAUAAAUUGACCUAAAUUAAUUUUUUAAAUUGACCUAAAUUAAUUGACCUCAAUUUAUCUGAAGAGUGCCACAUACUGU